rnacentral:rRNA from 1 species
GACGAACGCUGGCGGCGUGCCUAACACACGCAAGUCGAGCGAGUGAAUCUCCUUCGGGAGUGAAGCUAGCGGCGGACGGGUGAGUAACACGUGGGCAACCUGCCUCAUAGAGGGGAAUAGCCUUCCGAAAGGGAGAUUAAUACCGCAUAAGAUUGUAGCUUCGCAUGAAGUAGCAAUUAAAGGAGCAAUCCGCUAUGAGAUGGGCCCGCGGCGCAUUAGCUAGUUGGUGAGGUAACGGCCCACCAAGGCGACGAUGCGUAGCCGACCUGAGAGGGUGAUCGGCCACAUUGGGACUGAGACACGGCCCAGACUCCUACGGGAGGCAGCAGUGGGGAAUAUUGCACAAUGGGGGAAACCCUGAUGCAGCAACGCCGCGUGAGUGAUGACGGCCUUCGGGUUGUAAAGCUCUGUCUUCAGGGAUGACAAUGACGGUACCUGAGGAGGAAGCCACGGCUAACUACGUGCCAGCCGCCGCCGUAAGAC